GAUGAACGCUGGCGGCGUGCCUAAUACAUGCAAGUCGAGCGAACAGACGAGGAGCUUGCUCCUCUGACGUUAGCGGCGGACGGGUGAGUAACACGUGGAUAACCUACCUAUAAGACUGGGAUAACUUCGGGAAACCGGAGCUAAUACCGGAUAAUAUAUUGAACCGCAUGGUUCAAUAGUGAAAGACGGUUUUGCUGUCACUUAUAGAUGGAUCCGCGCCGCAUUAGCUAGUUGGUAAGGUAACGGCUUACCAAGGCAACGAUGCGCAGCCGACCUGAGGGGGUGAUCGGCCACACUGGAACUGGGACACGGUCCAGACUCCUACGGGAGGCAGCAGUAGGGAAUCUUCCGCAAUGGGCGAAAGCUUGACGGAGCAACGCCGCGUGAGUGAUGAAGGUCUUCGGAUCGUAAAACUCUGUUAUUAGGGAAGAACAAAUGUGUAAGUAACUAUGCACGUCUUGACGGUACCUAAUCAGAAAGCCACGGCUAACUACGUG
rnacentral:rRNA from 1 species